GAAUUUUAUAUAAUUUUAUUAAGUGAGAUUAAUUUUAAUUAAUUGAUUAAUAGAUUUAUAUUUUAUUGGGAGGAUAGUUAAAUUGAAUGAACUUUAAUAGUUAUUAAUAAAUCAUAAAUUUAUGAAUUAAGAAUGAAGAAUGGUUGAUUAAUUUAAAUAGAAUUAAUUACCUUAGGGAUAACAGCGUAAUAUUUUUAGAGAGAUCUUAUUAAUAAAGAUGAUUGC
rnacentral:rRNA from 1 species